rnacentral:rRNA from 1 species
UACGAAGGGGGCUAGCGUUGUUCGGAUUUACUGGGCGUAAAGCGCGUGUAGGCGGACUUGUAAGUUGGGGGUGAAAUCCCGAGGCUCAACCUCGGAACUGCCUCCAAAACUACAAGUCUGGACCUAAGUAGAGGCAAGUGGAAUUGCGAGUGUAGAGGUGAAAUUCGUAGAUAUUCGCAGGAACACCAGUGGCGAAGGCGACUUGCUGGACUUAUGGUGACGCUGAGACGCGAAAGCGUGGGGAGCAAACAGG